GACAGAGGGGGCAAGCGUUGCUCGGAAUUACUGGGCGUAAAGGGCGCGUAGGCGGCUCAUACAGUCAGAUGUGAAAUUCCUGGGCUUAACCUGGGGGCUGCAUUUGAUACGUGUGGGCUUGAGUGGGGAAGAGGGUCGUGGAAUUCCCAGUGUAGAGGUGAAAUUCGUAGAUAUUGGGAAGAACACCGGUGGCGAAGGCGGCGACCUGGUCCUUGACUGACGCUGAGGCGCGAAAGCGUGGGGAGCAAACAGG
rnacentral:rRNA from 1 species